rnacentral:rRNA from 1 species
AUGGAAUGUACUCUUCAAACAAUAUUUUGGAAUGUCCGCAGGUUGAACUGUCGGGCCAAACGCAUCGCGAUUCGCUCCUUUACCGCGUCGGUCUCUCCUAACAUUGUGUGCCUCCAACAAACUAAGAUGGAUUCACUCUUGUUGCCGCUUGUCAUCGAGACCCUUGGCCCCUGCUUCGAGGACUUCUUCUUCCUCCCUGUGAUUGGCACUCAUGGUGGCAUUCUCCUCGCUUGGAAUCGCAAUGAGAUUUCCAUCUCU